rnacentral:rRNA from 1 species
UACAGAGGUCUCAAGCGUUGUUCGGAUUCAUUGGGCGUAAAGGGUGUGUAGGUGGCGCCGUAAGUCGGGUGUGAAAUUUCGGAGCUUAACUCCGAAACUGCAUUCGAUACUGCGGUGCUUGAGGACUGGAGAGGAGACUGGAAUUCAUGGUGUAGCGGUGAAAUGCGUAGAGAUCAUGAGGAAGACCAGUGGCGAAGGCGGGUCUCUGGACAGUUCCUGACGCUGAGGCACGAAGGUCAGGGGAGCAAACGGG